UACGUAGGGUCCAAGCGUUGUCCGGAUUUAUUGGGCGUAAAGAGCUCGUAGGCGGUUUCGUAAGUCGGAUGUGAAAACUCAGGGCUCAACCCGGAGACGCCAUCUGAUACUGCGAUGACUUGAGUCUGGUAGGGGAUCACGGAAUACCUGGUGUAGCGGUGAAAUGCGCAGAUAUCAGGUGGAACACCGAUGGCGAAGGCAGUGAUCUGGGCCGAUACUGACGCUGAGGAGCGAAAGCGUGGGGAGCGAACAGG
rnacentral:rRNA from 1 species